rnacentral:rRNA from 1 species
UAAAUAGCCAGGCUGGCAUUUGCUGGUCGCCGGCUUCUUAGAGGGACUGUCAGUGUCUAACUGACGGAAGUUUGAGGCAAUAACAGGUCUGUGAUGCCCUUAGAUGUUCUGGGCCGCACG